GAUGAACGCUGGCGGCGUGCCUAAUACAUGCAAGUCGAGCGAACAGACGAGGAGCUUGCUCCUUUGACGUUAGCGGCGGACGGGUGAGUAACACGUGGAUAACCUACCUAUAAGACUGGGAUAACUUCGGGAAACCGGAGCUAAUACCGGAUAACAUGUUGAACCGCAUGGUUCAACAGUGAAAGACGGUCUUGCUGUCACUUAUAGAUGGAUCCGCGCCGCAUUAGCUAGUUGGUAAGGUAACGGCUUACCAAGGCAACGAUGCGUAGCCGACCUGAGAGGGUGAUCGGCCACACUGGAACUGAGACACGGUCCAGACUCCUACGGGAGGCAGCAGUAGGGAAUCUUCCGCAAUGGGCGAAAGCCUGACGGAGCAACGCCGCGUGAGUGAAGAAGGUCUUCGGAUCGUAAAACUCUGUUAUUAGGGAAGAACAAAUGUGUAAGUAACUAUGCACGUCUUGACGGUACCUAAUCAGAAAGCCAUGGCUAACUACGUG
rnacentral:rRNA from 1 species